UAUAAAUAGAAAUCUAGGUUUCUGCGUAGAUAAGCAGCUGCGAAUGUCACUGCCUUUAAAACAUAUUUUUCAGCAAAUCGGAGAAUUGUAUUGCUACAAAUUUAUUACAGUAUUAUAAAUUGAUAUAUUGUGGUACUUUCUACCAAAUUUCACAGCAAUUUUCAUUCAGGAAUGAGAAGUGGUUCUGUUAGAAAUAUGUACAUGUAUAACAAUCCCCCAUGCGCACCUUGGGUCGGUCACCCUGGCAACGCCCCAGUUUACCCAAACGCGCCACCUCAAUACCAGGGCCCACCUAGACACCCGAUGCCCUACCAGAUGAUGCCACCCGUGCAAUAUCAACCAGGUCCGAGUUGGCAGGGUCCUGGACCAUCAAGGCCCAGGGGUAGGGGGCAUAGGAGAGGACGAGGUUCGGGCCAUUUUACCGGAAAUAGAGCGAACUCCAGAAACGAUACAUUGGAACCUUUCAAGUAUGUUUGUUGCAAAUGUGGGGAUCAGCUACAGAACUCAGCCGAGCCUGGAAUCCAUUUAUGUGAUGGAGGACACGAAGUGAUCAUAAAUGAAGAUAAAUCAACAGAAAAUAAAAAGGAAGAACCAACAGAAACAGGAAAAGAAGAAGAACUAGAUGCAAGACUAGAAAAGCUACUGGAGAACCUUAAAGAUUUUGUAAGGAGCAAGUACGACUCUGUAACAGAAGCUCUAGAAGGCUAUGUUUCCGACAAGAUUGAUGAAAUCAACACCUUACACAAAGAAAACAGCGAAGAAAAGGCCUCUCUAGAGAAGUUAAAGAAAGAACUUGAAACAAAAGCUAAUGCUUUAAUUAAACAAGAAAAGGAUCUCAAAGAAAAACAGAAACGCUUGUCGAAGGAUCAAGAAGUAUUCAAGCGCGAAAUGAAGAAAGAGCGAGAGGAGGUUUGUCGUCAAUGGCAACAGUUGAGAGAUGAAAUAACACGAAUGGAAGAAGUGCAUAAGAUUCAGAAGGUUUGUAUGCUAAAAUGGAGGUAAAUUAGUACUCAGGAGGGCUUGACAUUCUGGUUUCUAAACUGUUGGGUAAUUUGGGGUAAUUUGGUAAUCCAAUGUUUUUAAUACUUUUCAUUACAUAUACAUGUAGGUUGAUUACAUUUGGGUCUACCAACUACCAAAGUUAUGAAAAUUGUCAUAAGUUUCAGUUGAAAACGAGUACAAAUGAUCUAAAUAAUUCAUAGAAACUACAAUGUACACUAUUUUGAGUCUCUACCGAGUUUCUACUGAAAAGCAAGUUUAUGAAAUGGUCCAAAAACUUACUAAAAUAUUGUGGACUACUUUGAUGGUGUUCAGCGUGUGAAAGACAUCUCGCGUAAAACCAUGAAAGUAUUUGGUGAAGACACAUUAAUGAAACAAAAUUUGUGUCAUCCAUUUGCAUUUUGAAUACAAGCUGAAAACGGUUUGGUUAAAUCAUCCAAAGUGUCCUGUUUCAGCACGAUCGCACCAUAUUAUAAAAUAUUCUGCAAGUAAAUAAGCUUUAUGAAAACAUAAAUUGCUUCGACACAGGAGUCUUAUCUGAAUUAAAACAAGGACUGCAUAUUGUAUUUACUUAAUUGCUUAACCAUGAUGUUUCUUUUUCCUGAAAUCUCGUUUUAGAGGAGGGUAGGUUAGGUUUAAAAUAAUCUAACAAAAUCAACAGAUGUUUGAGAGUCAGAAGAAAUAAGAACGUUGGACGCGGAAUGGGAUGCCAUGAAAUUUGUGAUAUUGCACAUGGGGGCUUGUUUUGGAUUAUUAUUUGAUAAAUCCUUCUUAAGGCCUUUAAUUUAUGCAAUAAUCACAGAUAAUUCCUGUUAGACCAAAAUAAGGAAGGUAAGCGAGUUAAGAGGGUUUCCACUUCUAGAUUUAAAGAAAUAAGGAAACUUUUCUUGAAUUGUCUUUUUAUUAUUACUGUCCUUCACAUAAGCGCAAAAAAUUUCACAACGUCUUUUUCAUCACAAAAGUGUCUUAUUUUCUAAGCAAAGGAUAUUCAUACAUUUUGAAAUGCUCCAGCUGAGUACAGUUUGACUACCACGUUCCUUUUGUCCCAAACAUGCAAGUUUGCAACAUAAUGGACGAAUAAAAACAGGUUAUUUGAAUCCGAUUCAAUUUAAAAAAAUAAGUCACAAAAAGCAAGACAGGAAGUCACAUAUAGUGGACAAUAAAAUUUCUCUAAAAAUCAGACCUUUGAACAAGAUCUUGAAGUGUCUGAAGCAAUGUUUGCAUUUCAAACUCAGCUGGAGCUAAGAGAGCAUUUAUAACGCCAAAAAGAGCUGAUAUUUCUGGUCCUCUUUUUUUCUUCAUGUGAAGUUCAGUCGUAGAUGUAUAUGUGUAAGUUUGCAAAAAUGUAGGGACUCCGGUGUAUUUUUGUGGUUUGGGUCAUGAAACACUUUAGGUAUUCACAUUUUCAUCGCAAUGGUGUUGCUGAAAAUAAAGAGAAAUUGAUAAUAUGAACGACAGACCUCUUGUAUUUGAGAAUGACUUUCAAAGGGAAGGAAGUUCAAAUAUAAAGAUUAAUUUAACGUGAUGAAGCUUUUGGUUUAAUUGUGUUAAAUAUUGAAAGGAUUUUUAAAAUCGGAUUAUAUUUAGACAUUAAGUUAAAAUGGUAGUAAAAUAGAGAACAAGUUAAGAAGUAAUUAAGUAACUGAAAGCAUUUACCAACUUGCUUGCAGAUCAUAUUUUCGGUGCUUAGCAUUUUCUUUUAGACUGGAUUAUCUGUCCGAUACUUUAAUCAUAAAGCUAGCAUAAUCACGUGAUCUUUUAUUACAUAAUGAUGUCAUCAAAACGACUUCUUACUCCACAGAUUCAUCACACUCAAUAAAUUCAAGCCGAUUUUGAAGAUACUUUCAAAAUAUUUGAAACAGAAAAAAUAAAGGAUAAACAUUGUCAAAAAAGAAAGAUCCUUUCCCUUAAACUAGAAGAAAAUUACAAGAGCCAAAGCAAAGGAACAUAACCUCAAAGCCACAAAACUAGAUCUUUGCCCUGAAAUUACAAUUAUAAAUAUGAUUUUUUUUUGUCUGAUUAUUGCCAUGUUCGUUAUCGUUAUUUCUUUUAAUCGGAUUAACAUUACUUGAUCUUCACAAAAUAUUUGAAUUAAUUAGGUUCUGUUGUUGAUCGAUAUCGUCAUUUUGUCUUUGAUCUCAUUUCUUCUCCCAGGGUGCCACUUCAAAAAAACAAUUAGUUUUAAUUGUUAUUGGUUCUUCAAAGGGUGAUCUAGUAAGUUAGUGAAUUGUAACACUAAAUUUAAAUACAGGUAAGUAGAAAACAUACUUAGACUAAAAUAAACUACUUUUGAAAACCACUAGUUUCAUACUAAAAUUCUGUUUAAACUGAAAAUCUUAAAUGCGGACCAAGUCAGUUUAUUGGCUCUCAGCUGAAAAAGUCUGGCAUUGCAUAUAACGGUUCUAUUAAAACUCAUAUUUUAAAUACCAAGCUAUCAGUAAAGUAUAAUCUUUUAUAAGUUUGUCUUAAGAGUUGUUAUGACCUUCGAGUCUGUAUUAUGAUUUUUAUUUCAAGAAAAUCUGUUUGUUGACUUCUUAAUGAACGUGUUCAUUGUUCCUUUAUCCUUUUGUUUUGUUGUAUUGGUUUGUUUUAAACAGGGAGUCCUUGUGGUUUACGCGACAAAAUGCCCUUUCAUGUAGCUAGGUCCUCCAGAACAAAACGGCAGAAGUUUGACACAUAUAUUUCUGUAUUCGGUCACUUGAGAAAA